rnacentral:rRNA from 1 species
UGGGGAAUAUUGGACAAUGGGCGAAAGCCUGAUCCAGCCAUGCCGCGUGUGUGAAGAAGGUCUUCGGAUUGUAAAGCACUUUAAGUUGGGAGGAAGGGCAGUUACCUAAUACGUAUCUGUUUUGACGUUACCGACAGAAUAAGCACCGGCUAACUCUGUGCCAGCAGCCGCGGUAAUACAGAGGGUGCAAGCGUUAAUCGGAAUUACUGGGCGUAAAGCGCGCGUAGGUGGUUUGUUAAGUUGGAUGUGAAAUCCCCGGGCUCAACCUGGGAACUGCAUUCAAAACUGACAAGCUAGAGUAUGGUAGAGGGUGGUGGAAUUUCCUGUGUAGCGGUGAAAUGCGUAGAUAUAGGAAGGAACACCAGUGGCGAAGGCGACCACCUGGACUGAUACUGACACUGAGGUGCGAAAGCGUGGGGAGCGAAACAGGAUUAGAUACCCCUGUAGUCCCUGAGCGGGCUGGCAAGGCGCAU